rnacentral:rRNA from 1 species
UACUUAGUGGCAGACGGGUGAGUAACAUGUAGGUAUCUUCCCAUUGGUGAGGAAUAACACGAGGAAACUUGUGCUAAUACCUCAUAAGUCUUUACGGAGAAAGCUUUAUGCGCCGAUGGAUGAGCCUGCACUUGAUUAGUUUGUUGGUAGGGUAAUGGCCUACCAAGACAAUGAUCAAUAGCUGAUUUGAGAGGAUGAUCAGCCACAUUGGGACUGAGACACGGCCCAAACUCCUACGGGAGGCAGCAGUAGGGAAUCUUGCACAAUGGGGGAAACCCUGAUGCAGCGAUGCCGCGUGAGUGAAGAAGGCCUUUGGGUUGUAAAGCUCUUUCGUCGGGGAAGAAAAUGACUGUACCCGAAUAAGAAGGUCCGGCUAACUUCGUGCCAGCAGCCGCGGUAAUACGAAGGGACCUAGCGUAGUUCGGAAUUACUGGGCUUAAAGAGUUCGUAGGCGGUUAAAAAAGUUGGUGGUGAAAUCCCAGAGCUUAACUCUGGAACUGCCAUCAAAACUUUUU